GUGAAUAUCGUAAGGGUAUCGUUCACGAUGGCGUCGAUCGCCUGCGUGAGCGAGAAUCUUGGCAUGAUUCUCAGAUGCGCACCCGCGAACAGCAUGCCCUGCAUGAGCGUCAGCCCGUACGAAUGAGAAAUCGGCAUUACGCACAGCGAGACGUCGUCCGAGCGAAUUGUAUCGGUUCUUUUGCCGCGGCACGCGACAAACGCGAGGCUGCGAUGGCUAAGCAUCACUCCUUUUGGGCGCCCAGUGGUGCCCGUCGUAUAGAUAACAACGGCGACCUGCCAGGAGGAAUCCCGGUGAACCCUCUCUGCAACGGAAUCC
rnacentral:misc_RNA from 1 species